UUAACUCAAAUUUGUAUGGAGUUGGAACGUUUGCCUAAGUUUGCCGCUAGGGGCGCUGUUUCAACUAGUUAGUAGUGUUAAAAA
rnacentral:pre_miRNA from 1 species